AAACGACGUCAAUCUGUAAAUGGAGCUGUAUCACUCUGUCUGUGCCAACAGUGGUGUCCUUCAAGGAACAACAUUGGGUCCCAUUCUGUUUUUGAUCACGAUUAACGAUCUUGAAUUAAAGUCUCACUAAAAAUGCCCUUGGAAGUACGUUGACGACUUUAGCAUGAAUAGAAACCAGAUUAGAUAGUUUAACCGAAAAUUAUUUGUGACGUGAUUCUUUAUCAGAGUUAAAACUUUGUUAGUGGAACGGAAAGGAUCUUAUUAGAAUGAGCUUUUUGAAUUCCCCCGGAAAUGAUUCUGAAUCUCAAGUAAUCUAAAUUCGACGCUGCCAAUCCGACGCUGCAGCCAAUCCGCCGCUGCAGCCAAUCCGACGCUAGCUUCAUUUUGGUCUCUUGGCAUGUGUUUACGCUUCUUAAAAUAUGACGAGCGGUUCAGUCACAUACUUUAUUGAGACUCCCUUGACAGGGCUUUUCAGCAUGAACUUCAAGUAAGGAAAAAUCAGGCGGUUUUAAUAGAAAGUAUUAUGCAUUUCGUAUUAAGUUUCGUUUGAAGUUAUUCUACUUUGUCUUUGUAAGUAUUAUUUUGAGACGUGUCUGACAAGCAGUAUUGCUUCCUUGACAACUUAAAUCAUACCUUGACCCCAGUACUAUUCAGUUAUGCCGACCCUGGAUGACAGCAUACGGUCUUGUCCUAAUGAAUCAAACGCAGUUCAAGAUUGUGCAAUGAAACUGCUCCGUGCGAUGGAGAGGACUUUGCAGCUACUGUUUGUGGUUUUCUCGAUUUCUCACUUCUGUAAAGCAAAUGUUCGCUUGGUCGGAGGUAAUGCCACACAAGGUCGAGUAGAGGUUUUCUACAAUGGUCAAUGGGGAACAGUCUGUGAUGACUAUUGGGAUCUCAACGAUGCUAAUGUUGUCUGUCGUUCACUGGGUCUACCAAGAGCAGUGGCUGCACUACGUCAUGCAGCCUUUUGUCAAGGAACAGGACCAAUUUGGAUGGAUGAUAUACACUGCAGUGGAAGUGAAUCAUCUUUGUUCCAGUGUCAGCACAGAGGAUGGGGAUCACAUAACUGCGGACAUUAUAAAGAUGCCAGUGUUGUAUGCGAACUACCUACUAUGCCACUGGUUCAAGUGAAGAUUACGAACCUUACUGGAGAGAUCACUAGUACUGGAUAUCCAUAUUCGAUGCACAUGGCGUACUAUGAGUGGACAUUCUGGCCUCCCAUACCACGAGCAUAUGUUUUUGUUAACAUUACAGAUAUUGACUUGUUUCGCAGUAGUGGAUUUAGCUAUCUCAAAGUUGAAGAUGCGACAAAUACUCAGUUUUUCUAUGCGUGGAAUAACACAGAGAGAUCCGCAUCUGCUCUCAUUGAAACUACAACUGGAAAACUGACUUACUUUUCAUCUUUCACCUCCAAACGUGGUUCAACGGGAAAAGGAUUUCUUUUGAGAUACCACACGUUCAGCAUGCCUGAGAAUGACCAGGGAUGCAACGAGAACUGGAACGUGUCCUUAAUCCAGAAUGAUCCAGGAAGAAUCAAUGUCUCAUGGUGUCCCGUACCAUCUCAUCUACCUGGUUCUACAUAUACCUACUUUCUUGUAUUUAAAAUGGUAAAAACUAUCGAAAGUAAUGUUACUACACUCAACGACAGUUCGAGGACAGCUAGGAUUGAGUUUCUUCAUCCAAACAGAACAUAUUCCAUACGACUGGUAGCUUUUGACACGUCAGUCGAUACAGUCAUACACAGUUGUUCACAGCUAAUAAAGACUCUUGACGUGUCACUACGCCUUGCUGGAGGUAAGCUUUCCAACGAAGGACGAGUUGAAGUCUUGUACCAUGGAAUAUGGGGAAGCAUAUGUACAUAUAGGUGGGACUUGAAUGAUGGUAAUGUUGUCUGUCGAUCACUGGGUUUGCCUGCAGCUUCACAAGCAAUGAGGUACGGCCAAUUCGGCCGUGCAUUAAGUGGAACAACAUGGAUGACUGAAUUAAGCUGUUCAGGGAAUGAGGAAAGCCUUGCCUUGUGCCCUCAUCGAGGGUGGAGGAACAUUCCUAGCUAUUGCAGUGGUUCCUACUAUACAGCGAGCGUUGUUUGUGGAUACCCUCAAGAGUUAAACUUCAACAUCACUGACCUUUCCGGGGAGUUCACAAGUCCUGGGUUCCCGCACUACAUGCUUCAGGCUCACUACGUGUGGACGUUCAGACCUUCACUACCGAAUGCAAAUAUUGCUAUCUUCUUUGAAGUUCUUGAUUUGUAUCGUUCUUAUUAUAACGGGCAAAGUUACGUUAACGUAAAAGAUUCAUCAGGCCAUCAACUGUUCUAUCUCAGUUACACAAGAGCCUCUCCUCUAGGUCUCAUUAUUCAGAAUCAUAAAACAGGACAAAUGACAUUCUAUAGCCCCUUUACCACUUCAUAUGGCAAAGGCAUUCGUGUGCGAUACCUUGUCUUUGAUCGAUCUUUGAAUGACGCCCUUACACAAAAUGCUUUCAUCUUGGCAUCAAGUACCAGUCCCCACAGCAUCAGUGUGUCUAUCGGUUCUUUCACUGUCGAUGGCUUCAAAGUCCUUGGAUAUCUCAUCACCUGUAAUUCAACAGAUGACUGGCAUCGUAUUAUAUCUUACGCUAUUGCUGGUAAUAUGACAAAAAAUGCUUCAUGUCAUCGUCUGGUGGGUUUGACAAACUACAAAGUACAGGUGUUUGCAGUUGUUGCUAACAUUACUGAUGGUAGUAUGAUGAUGUACAAGAGCAACCCAGUUGAGAUAAAAACCUUGGAAGGAGUUCCAAGUGAUAGCCCUCGGGGUUUCUAUGCGGUUUCCUCGACUUCAAGCACCAUUCACGUGCAGUGGAAUCCAAUACCACGUGACCGUGCUCACGGUGUUCUUCUUGGAUACCAAGUGUAUUACUACGAUUAUGAAUACUAUCACAGCAAGACCAUAACCACCAAUAAAACUCAAGUGGUUCUUGAACAUCUCCUUCCUGGUAUGAGGUAUUAUAUUAGGGUACGUGGGUUUACAAGUAAAGGCCAGGGACCAUCAAUAACUAUUAGACCAGUAACAAAAUGCGGAGGAGUCGAACAUCAAGCACUAGGAAAGAUGAGCCACCCACGUUAUAAUAUAAGACAUUGGUGGGCUAUAGAUUGUGUGUGGACGUUAAGAGCACCUUCUAGGACGGGAAUGAUUGUAAUUUCCUUAGAAUCAGUAGAUGUCCCUAACUCUUCUCAAUGCUGGUGGUUUUUUGUAGCUUUAUUUGACAACAAAGGCCAAAUGAUUGAAAAAAUGUGCGGGCGAAGACACUCUUUGACCUUUAUAUUCUUUGGUACGGCCAAACUACAGUCGCACUCACAGCGGUGGCUAGGAAGGGAUAUAUUUACGAUGAAAGCAAAGUAUUACAUGUUUAACAAUGGCCUUUAUGAUGUUCCUGUUAAAUCAACCUGGAACAUCAGCGCCAAGAGUGACAGAUCAUCCACCAUCAACGUCCAGUGGUCUGAAUAUCCUCUCUCAAGUAAUAUAGCAGCAUCAACCCAAGUAGUGUCAUACGUGGCUGUUUGUAUUGCUGUCAAGAACCACACUGACAUAUCUGUAGCGAGCCCUGAUGGUCAAGGCAGAAGUGUGAACGUCACUCAUCUUAGGAGUAACACUGAAUACUACGUACAAGUGAUUGCAGUUUUAGGCAACUCGAGUAACACUACAAGUGCAAAUGAAACCACGUUUCAAAGAAGUGAAAAUAUCACCGUGAGAACAAUGGAAGAGGUUCCUAGUCAACCACCCGUAAACAUUGUCGCACAAGUUAAGACCUCAGACAACAUCUUGGUCAAGUGGGAUCCUAUUCCUAGUGAAUAUGCACAUGGAAUACUACUGGGAUAUCAUGUAUAUUACACACCUACUUUGUCGUCGAAUACCAGCCACGAGAGAAUGGAAUUUGUAGAUGCAAAUAGAACGUCUGUUACGUUGCAGAAUCUUGGCUUUCUUACUGAAUACCGCAUUAGAGUGGCUGGUGUCAAUCAGGCUGGCGAAGGACCAAGAAGUAGGGCUGUGUUUGUGAGGACAGGUCUUGAUUGUGAUAAGAAUCUCUAUGGAAAGCAUGGUCAUUUUUCAAGUCCAAAUUUUCCAAGUAACUAUCCAAGUGAUGCUAACUGUGCAUGGACCAUAGGAAAAGGAAUGAAAUUUAAUAUGAUUAUAAUAUUGUUCGACUUAUUUGAGUUAGAAGAAGAAACUUAUGGCAUGUGCAGCAAUGACCAUGUCAGGAUAGUGGAUAUCAAAGGAAAUGCACUAGGAAAGGGAAAGUAUUGCGGCAAGACGAAUCCGUUUGCUGUUGUAUCGCCGCUGCGAUCUGCAGAAGUCAUACUGUAUUCAGAUCGAGCAUUUGAAAAGAUAGGCUUCAAUGGAACGUACUAUGUGAUAGAUAAACGUUCUAACGACAUCGACCUGAAAGUGAAAUCUGUGACCACCACGGAGUUGAUGCUGGAUAUUAAAGACCUUGGAGUCAAAUUUACUGAGCUCUUGGUUAUAUACAAAGAAAAGGAGGGCAAAAAGACUUGGAAAGUUUCCACAACAUCCUCGUCUAGUUUCUUCAUCCAAGGACUUCUUCCGUCCAAAAAAUAUCAAGCGAGAGCAUUAGGUUACUCUAAUGGAAGGGUGUACAAGAGCCAAUUAGUAACAAUUGUAACUAAACAACUACCAAUUACAUCUCCUACAGAGAAGACCACUCCACCAACAACAGAACCACUCAAGCAGAUGUACGAUUAUGGACCUUCUACGGGAGACAGCGUCGUUCCACAUACAUGGGGAGAGUUACAAAAAUGCUUUGGGGUUCAUCUCAACGACGGGGUUACUAUAUUCAUGAAACGCUAUCACAAGCUUUAUAUUUGUCAUAACGGAGUAAUUCGCUUUGGAGCACACUUUUUCCCUCGCUGGCCUAAGCCAUUCAGCAGAAGUACCGAAGGUUGUAAACACGAGCUUGCAAUGUUGGCACCAUACUGGGCAACCACAGAUCCAUAUUCCUUCUAUCAACCAAAGAUCUCUGCCGUUUACUACCAGUUGUACACUUCAUCUCAACAAAAUGCAAAGUCCAAUCAAGUAUUAAACCGGGCCACGUCAGAGGUCAACAGACUUUACAAAGACCCUCUACCGGAGGAAUUCCAAGCUUCACUUGUUUUGGUCGUCACGUGGUAUAAUCUUCGCCACUUAAACUUGAAUUCUGAAACUCGGGAUUUGUACAACACCUUCCAGGCUGUGAUCAUCACAGAUGGUGUCUACACCUUUGCGAUGUAUAACUACCCACCUAACGGCAUUCAGUGGUCAGCGCCAAUUGCAAGUGCUAAAUGGCCUCUGUACACCAAGGGAAAUCGAGUCAAUGAUCCUCUUCCGGUCGUCGGCUGGAGUGCUGGAUGCGAUCAGUACGAAUAUUUCAAUGUGUCAAGGUCUGGAGAGGUGACGAUUGGAGAUAUAGGUACAAUGCCUGGGCAAACUGUGUCUAGAAAACGUGGAGGAGGAGGAGGAAGGUUUAAAAAAAUAAACCACGGUGUCCAGGGAAAAUGGCUAUUCCGAUUGGAAAUGUCAUCUGGUCAAAGUUCAGAGAGAAACUGUAAACUUCGGUUUAAAAGCGAACCAGAUCCACGACCUUACCUAGAAUACCUUGAACCUUGCCCUUGUACUUUCUUCCAAGCCCGAUGGGACGAAAGAUUCAUGGUCCAAGACGACUGGCGAGACAAAUCCAGGGUUUGUGCCUAUUCCACCUUCACUUCUAUCGACGGUUGGCAACAGAAAUGUUGUUACUUUAACGACUGGAGAAGCAAUGGUGCGCUCAUCGUAGGUCAUCCAGGGGGAGGUAGUGCUCUCAGGGAAAAGUACGAUAAAAACCCAAUUUCCAAUGAAAAUAGAUUCUACGAAUGGUGUUGUGUACAAACCACAAUGUGUCACCUUUACUACCAGAGAAGACCAUCAGACGACUGCAAGCAAUACGAACCACCUGAGUGGAGUUGGUUUUGGGGCGACCCUCACUUUGUCACCCUUGAUGGUAAAAACUACACAUUUAACGGUCUUGGUGAAUAUGCGAUGCUUGAUGCAAAAGACGGCUUCGUUCAAGUUCAGGCAAGGACAAGACUCGCUAAAGGAGAUGGAACUGCAACUGUAUUUUGUGCUGUCGUGGCGCAGGAGAGAAAUACGAGCAAAGUGCAAGUCAAUUUAGAGAGAGAAGGUAACUUUACGCUUUUUGUCGAUGGAGAGACCUUGGAUUAUUACAGCCUUACCAACCAAUCGACCAGACUCAAUGGCUCUGUCGUUGUCUCCCGUCCUAAAGAUAACAUAUUCAGAGCAACUUUCCCAUCUGGAAUCUCACUUACUGUAACAGAAGUAAAGGGUGCCCUGUCCAUCUUAAUAGCAAUGCCCAAGUCAUUCAGGAACCAGACAAAAGGGUUGUUAGGAACCUGGAAUGGGAACCAAACAGAUGACCUGACAACACCCAGUGGAGAUGUUUUACCAGCAGAUGCAAGCAGUAGGGAUAUUCACUUUCAGUUUGGACAGAAAUGGCAAGUAAACGAGAGUACUUCGCUUUUUACCUACCAGUUCGGCGACAACGUCUCCACCUUUUCAAACACUUCUUUCGUGCCCAUGUUCAUAGACGAACUGAAAUUCUACAAUGAAUCUCUGAAGAAAAAAGCUGAAGCUGCUUGCCAAGGUGACAUCAACUGCUUGUUUGAUUCUGCUUCAACCAAGGACGUGUCUGUUGGAUUAAGUACGAAGAUUGUUGGGUCCCAAAUGGUCAACGAAUCCAACAUACUGAAAAACUCUCCUCCUGAGUUCGACAACACGUCAUCCGUUCUUUACCUUACUGUGAACGUUUCAAACAGUGUCACUUUCACGGCCAACGACCUGGAUGGAGAUAGAAUAAGAUUCAACAUAACAGGACCUCCAGAGGAUGCAACUGUUUGGACUAACGAAUCUUCGAUAACCAUGGAAUGGAUGGUUACCACAAAUUCGGUAAAGUUGGAAAUAAUCGCCACAGACAACAAGGGCGCUACUUCUGUAUUGAGGCCGGUGCUGCACGUCUGCGCAUGUCACAAUAAUGGUGACUGCUUGACAAGCAACCAAGAAGAAGAGAAUCGUAAUAAUAGUCGUUUUAGCAUCAUGUCUUGUCAGUGUCCAAGUGGUUACACGGGUCGAUUCUGUGAGAGUGAUAUUGAUGCAUGUGAGGUCAAUAUGAACCCAUGUUACCCUGGAGUACAGUGUAAGGACUUACCAGCUCCUGCUAAUGUCACCGGAUAUGAAUGUGGACCGUGCCCGUCUGGAUUCUCAGGACAAGGAGAUUCUUGCUCAGACAUUGAUGAAUGUGAUGGUUUUUCACAAACCUGUACCCAAAUCUGUGCCAACACUCCUGGGUCAUUCACGUGUGGUUGUAACGAUGGUUAUGUGCUAAAUGGAGAUGGCCGCACAUGUGAUGACGUGAACGAGUGCGAUCCAGCCAGUGACUGUAUGCAAGGAUGUGUGAAUACUCCGGGUAGUUACAGAUGUACCUGUGACAAGUACUUUACAGUAGAUCCUACCAAUCCCAAGAGAUGCAUACCGGAAGCCCCCUGUAAGGAUGGUAACCAUCAAUGUAAGCAUAUUUGUUACGUCUCCAACGGGACGGACCACUGUACAUGUCGACCUGGAUACGAACUUCAACAUGACAAUAAAUCAUGCUCAGACAUCGAUGAAUGCACAACAGGUAAGAAUCGCUGUAAUCAGGACUGUCGCAAUACCAUUGGUUGGUACGACUGUGAAUGUCGUCCUGGAUAUCGUCUGGAUACUGACAACGUGACGUGCGUCGACAUUGACGAGUGCCUGGAAUGGACCUUCAGCUGCUCUGCUAAUAUGCGUUGCCGUAAUAAAAUUGGCUCCUACGAAUGCGAGUGUAGACAAGGCCUUGUGUGGAAUGGGAUUGAAUGUCAAGAACCAGAUAAACCAGCUACUACUCGUCCACCGUCAACACCAAGACCACCAUCUGAAAAAGAUAUCCAAAACUCUGUCAAUGUUACUGUCCAAGGGCUUAACAUCACUGAGUGGGACCACGAAAAAGAACUGAAAUUCAAACACGUUGUGGCCAAGGAAGCUACCGAGUUCUGUGCUAAAGCUCAGAACUGCUUUGUACCCAAGAGAAGAGUAAGGCGUUCCGACGGCGAGCAAAUCAUCACCUUCACAGCACAAGAAGUUCAUCUUCUGCCAGGUUACCCAGUGCAGCUGUCUUCCUCGUCCAUCCCUGAUCACGUGAUUGCUGCUGUAGCAUUCUUCGUUAAUUUCCCACCAGGAGUCGCCAUUGGAGUCACUGACACGGUCGAUGGCAAUCUUCUUGUUGAUAUCGUGAAUGCAUCUCUCGCUCGUAUCGGCAGAGCCAUCAACAAGACUAUACUCUCUGUAACCGUAUACAUGGUUAAAAAAACAACCAACCAACCCACCACUAAACCUAUUACACCUACCAAUACUAAGCCUGCUGAUAUCGGAGAUACUAAAGAAAAACCAGGAUAUAUCCGUUUUCUUAUCAUUGGUGGAUCAGUAGUCGGGGUUAUUUUGAUCAUCAUCAUUGUUGCUGUAAUUAUCAGGAAAUCAAGGGAAAAUUCCUCCGCAGCCAUCAAGAAGCAAGUGGAAAUAGAGAUGAAAAUGCAGCAUGGAGACUUCAGCGUCGAUAAUUUAGGAGCUGAUGUUCUGGACACAGAUAAGCCACGAUACCAAAUGCACACAUGAGCAUGUAUGUUGCACACUUUAAUGUGCACUUCUUAAAGGUGAUUUCGGCUCAAACGCGCAAAGAAAACAGUGAAUGGAAAACAACACUUCUAGUUGGAGGAAAACAUGAAAACUCAGAAUAACCUUUAAAGAACUGAGUAGAAAGCGAGCUAAAAUAUCAUGAAGAAUCCCUUAUCUACUCUAACCGCUGGGAUUCUUAGAGGCUAACCAUGUUGGUUUCUUGUCCGAACAUAUGGUGCGUGUGGUACCACUAUUCGAAGCAUAUAAAUAUUGCAAAUGUUUUUGCAAUAUCCCUUAAAAGACCAUCGCUGUAGCUGUGCUUUAUAGCAAAAUUUCAAAACGUGGAGAAAGAAGGUAAGAGUUUGCCAAAAUGUUCAACAAACUUACCUUGGUGGUGCUUGUGAUGACCGUUGCGAUGACCUGUGCUCUUCCUUUUGGUCAGCAGGUACAAGAAAACGAUUGGAGGAGGAAUGACAUUGAAAAAGACUUUGAUCAAAUGGUAGACCGAGAACCAGGAUGCAAUGGAAUACCUUGCUACUUAUGCCGGCACUGGGCAUGCGUACAUACCUGCUGUUAAUCCUGAUACUGUUCAAUGACCACCCUGAAGUCAACGAACUGAUACGAAAAAUUGUCUUCAAACAGCAAUUACCGUUAAUAAAUAAAUCAAAACACUAAA